GGGUUGGCCAAGAGAGAACGAAGAGCCAAGAAAAAGCACCUAAGCAAAAAUGUCUUCAUGGGGUACGAAAAAUAUUUUUCCAUGCUCUCCUGUGUUGUGGUUUGCUCUGGAGUUAUCUGUAUUAUGAUGCUAAUUCCACUGCCCCAAGGACAGCUGCCUAGUUGCAUACUCAGGACUCAGUGAUUUUAAGUGUGCAGCGGCUAGAGACACUGGGCUGCUACAGAGUUGGGAUGUGUGUUUCAGGUAAGAUAUCUAGCAGAUAUCUUGGGACACUGUGGUGCCAGAUCUAGUGGGGGUAAAAGAUAGCAUUUUAUAUUUUAAAUUUUUACCACACUUCUGAUUUUAAUCUAUGGAUAAAUAUUUGUUACUACUGCAUGCUAAUUUCACCUGUUUUGAUGGUCACAAUCUUUUUAAUGUAGAUAAACACAAAUAGUAAUGUAUAGUAUUCAGACACUGAGACUCUUGAGUACAAGAAGACCAUAGCACUCUAGCCUAGCAUUUCCUAAGAAAGUAUCUCAGAGAGUGGGUUCCUUUACUCCUAGAUGUAUCUGGCCAUUGUCCCAUCUAAGAGCUGUAACAAUGU
rnacentral:lncRNA from 1 species